GGGUAAUGGGUUCAAACUUAAACAGGGGAAGUUUAGAUUGGAUAUAAGGAAGAAAUUCUUUACUGUUAGGGGUGGUGAGGCACUGGAAUGGGUUGCCCAGGGAGGUUGUGAAUGCUCCAUCGCUGGCAGUGUUCAAGGCCAGGUUGGGCAGAGCCUUGGGUGGAAUGGUUUAGUGUGAGGUGUCCCUGCCCAUGGCAGGGGGGUUGGAACUUGAUGAUCUUAAGGUCCUUUCCAACCCUAACUAU